AUAUAUACAUACAUACAUAUAUAUAUAUAUUCUUAUGUAUGGAUAGAUGUAUGCAUAGAUAUAUGUCUGCAUUACAUGCGCGCGCGUGGCUGUGUGUAUAAAUGUGUUUGCAUACUGUAUCAUCAAGAUUCUUGAACAGCAUGUUACCUUUAAAUAAGCAUAUGCUCCCACUUACUUCAUUUCUAAAAGGUUUUUUUUGAGGCAGUUUUUUAAACAUCAGUUUUUUUGCCAUUCCAUAAAAUGUGCUAGUUUUAGUGACAAAGAUCGCGAUUGUUCAUCGCACUUUAGCAGUUCGGGUACAGAACAAAGAAGUCCUUACGUAGUCGCAUGAUCUGCGAGAAAUGGCAGCCAAAUUUAUUUUUCAGAUCGUUUCUGCCGUUUUAGAAAAGACAGGACAUUAGAUCUUUUAGUCUCAUAUAUAUAUAUAUAUAUAUGUGUGUGUGUGUGUGUGUGUGUGUGUGGAGAGAGAGAGAGAGUACAUUAAACUUGCCGCGGAGAGUGGAAAAUGCGAAGUUUUGGACAGAGAUCUCCUUCAAGGAAAAGCUAGUAGGAAUGAAAUUAAAGAUAACAGAAUUUUAUAUUUUCGGGAGCCUCGAAGAUAUAAAGCUCUGCUGUCUUGCGUUAAUUUUUCUCCUGUGAAAUUUUCCUUGGCGCAUGACUAUGUCCGAAACGUCUCUUGGGCGUCUUCUUGAUCACACACACACACACACACACACACACACACACACACACACACACACACACACACACACACACAGUUAUAAUAUAUCUAUAUAGGGUAAAGAUCCUUCCUAAGUUAUAGAAUCACUGGGUUUGGUUUCCCGGUUUCCGUGGUGCAUGGACUUCCUACUGGACGGGACGCCGGUCCAUCGCAGGAUCACUCUUUUUUGCCAGCUGAGUGAACUGGGACAACGUGAAAUGAAGUGUUUUGUUUAAGAACACAACGCGCCGUCCGGUCCAGGAAUCGAAACCACAAUCUUACGAUCAUGAACCCAACACCGUACCACUAAACCACGAGCAAACACACACGUGCGCGCGCACAUGAUAGAUAGUUAGAUAGAUAGAUAGAUAGAUAGAUAGAUAGAUAGAUAGAUAGAUAGAUAGAUAGAUAGAUAGAUAGAUAGAUAGAUAGAUAUGAUGGUUAUGGCUGGAACGCCUUUGGUCAUUACUGUUCAAUUUAGUCUGAUCUGAUGUUAAACAACAAACACAUGUGAUCCAGGCACGUCUCCAUAUUUGUUGACGGAAAACAUUUUUGAAAAAUUAUUUACCUGUAAGAACUCUUGAUGUUGUUAUUUAGCCCUGGGCAGCCUUGAUUCGUUUGAGUUAUCAAAGACAUUCCAACCGUGUCAAUCGUUCUUUUUUGCGUAUUGUUUCUUCUUUAGGAUUGUAGGAUGUUUUGCUGCUUUAUCUAGCAGAUCGAGCGACCAAUUGAAGUUUCGUGGUUGGGUCGUCUAUAACUUAUAUUUUUAAUAGGAAACCUUUCUCAUCUAAAUCUAUAUUAUUAUCAUUGAGAGCUACAAGGAGAGUGUCAGCCUGCUGAUGUGUGUGUGUGUGUGUUUGAGUGUAUGGGCGCGCGAAGACAGUUUAAGUUCAAAUUACCCAGCCUGUCGAACCAAAUAUAAAUAUAUCUCAACGUGUUUUUAUGUCACUCGUCGCUAUAAACAGCAGAAGUUUUGUGAUGGACAUCUCGUUAAUUUAUAACGUUUCUAGUUAAAAGGAUUGGGUCAUUCAAGUUGAUCUCCCCAUAGAUAAUAGAACAAUAAGUCUCUCGAUCGUCCCUACCCCUCCAUAAAUCUCUACUAUCAGGGCUGUAACCUACAAUAAUGGGUGGAGUCGAUGGUAUUGUUUCCUUCUAUGGUAGGUGUGGUCUGUUGUAUUUGUUGACUGAUAUGGGUAAGAUCUAGGGUUUUGUAUGUUUCCUGCUAUGGUGGGUGUGGUCUAUAGGUGGGUUUGGUGUUGGUUAUUAUACUAUGGCAGUGAUAAAGGUAUGCUUCAUAUUAUGGAUGUGGUCUACAGUGAUCUAUGUUUAUAUUACGGGUGAGGUAUGGGUAUUCUAUGUUACAUACUACAACUAUGGUCUAAGAUACUGUAUAUUAAAUAGUAUAGAUGUGGCCUGGGGUUGUAUGGGUGCGGUUCAAGGUUCAAGGUAUGAAACUCAUUGUGGCUGCCAUCAAAGGUGUAUGUGUUACCUGUCAUGGGUGUGGUCUAAGAUACUGUCUGUUACAUUCUACGGGUGUAGUUUAGGUUGUUGUAUGUUACCUGCUACGAGUGCGGUCUCGGACGUUGUGGGGGUUACAGUUCUAAAAUGACUCGCAUUGCAGAACUUCAAAAAAUAGUCGUGCAUCUCGUUCCAGUGUUUCACUUUUCCUCACCAGGUGUCAGGGGCAUCUGCUUAUUGAUAUAAAACAAUUAGAUGGUGGUGGUGGUGGUGUUGGUGUUGGUAUGAAACAGAACGAGAGUUAGAAGCUUAAUCGAUUUCCCUGUCUAACACCACCAUCUGGCCCAUAGCUGUUUAGGCGAAGUUCACUUUAGCGCAAGCGGAAACAGACCUUAUACAUGUCUGCUGAGAGUAUAUUUCAAUAUCUUCAUGUCCUGCUUUCUAUAAGAGUCAUGGUUUCUCUCUCUCCCACCAAUUUUGAAGUUCCUGAAACUAUAAUCAGGCCUUGGGUCCCGCCCUUCUCCCCUUCACCCAGCCAUAAAAUAUAUACCCAAGAACAUAUGGAAGAAGACAUUCUAGUGUUUAUUUCAUUAUUAUCAUUGUUUUAAACAUUUUCGGUAAUUUCUUUCCGUCAUUGAAUAAUAUUACAAGAUUCAAAUUUGCAUAUUUCGUAUUCAAUGUGAUGUGCUCCACUAAUUGUUUAUCAUUUACUAACAUGGCUGUGUGUGUGUGUCUGUGUGUGUUGCAUGUAAGUAUUAAUCCAUCUAUCACUUUUGUUUAUCUUUUUUUCUUUGUACGUAUGCGUUAGACAUGUAUGCAUGUAUGUAUGUAUGUAUGUAUGUGACUGUCUGUCUUUUGUCUAUCUAUCUAUCUAUCUAUCUAUUUGUGCCUAUCUAUCAACCUUUUUUGGUUCUCUCUGUUACAUACAUACAUAUAUACAUGUUUUAUAUAUAUAUAUAUAUUGUGUGUAUAUAUAUAUAUAUAUAUAUAUAUAUAUAUAUAUAUAUACACGUGUAUAUAUGUAUAUAUAUAUAUAUGAUAUACAUACACACAUGUAUAUAUAUAUACAUAUACACACACACACAUACUCUCUCUUUCUUUCUCUCACACACACACAUACUCCAUUCCUUUAAUUAUCCCACUUCCGUUUUUAUUGUUUCGGAUUUUCUCAUUCUAUAGACAUUCCAAACCUUAAACAAAUUCUGUCAAAAAAAAAAAUCGUCUCGUAGACAACUUCUUAUUAUGAGGUCGGCAGGCAGAAACUCAACGAAUGAACACCACUACAUCAUAAUACUUCAUUAGUUACCUGUUUUCACUUCUUCUUAUUCUUGGACCCUUAUUUCACUGACUCCUUUUAACUCGUUGCCUGUCCAAAAACGUUUUCAAAAGCUUUUCCUAAACGUCCACGCUUGUUUUCAGACUUUCACUUAGCCUUCGUUUCGUACGUUCUGCAUUAUAUAAAGCUUUCCUUUCAUAAGCCCCAAGUUAACUCUGGUGGUUGAAAAACUCGAGAAUGUGUAUCAUAUAGGAUGCAUGGACGCCAGGGAAACAUGUCCUAAGCACCACAUGUGACACACAGGACAGGCAAACGGUUAAGACGACAGUUAAUUCCAUGAGUUAAUUUCUAAGCAGAAUCUGUGGCAUUUGUAGUAGAGAUCUCAAUAUCAUUUCCCAGCUCAUUCCAAGACUGUUGAUAUAUUAAACAUGAAUUAGAUGGUCAAUUCGCAGAAGCACGCUAUUAAGUUACUUUUAAAUAUUCAGGGUUCAAUUCCUAUCGAGCUUUACUUUGCUUUUCCACCUUCUGCGGUCGAUGAAAUAAGCACCAGUUAAGCGCACGGGUCAGUAUCAUCGACUGUUCUCUCCCCACUCAUGUGUAAUUCUGAGUUAGGUAUUAAGAAUCAUGUACAUUAAAACAAAUUUCAAUUAGAAACUCCAUGUCUUCAAAGUUUUUGUUCUAAAACUGGAAAAACGAAAGUUGUCAACAGAUAUCUGUUUGUCACUCCUGUGUGGUUCAUGAUAUAAGACUAGAAGGAGGAGAAUGGCCUAUAUUAAGGGUGGCGGGUGGCAUUGUACAUAGUAUUGGUUUACUAUGUCAGUUAAGGGUGAGAAGGAAGUAGUGUUUAGAUCCCUCGGUGUAAGGUUUGUAGCAAUGUUCUAUCUAUCUAUCUAUCUAUCUAUCUAUCUAUCUAUCUAUCUAUCU
rnacentral:lncRNA from 1 species